rnacentral:ribozyme from 2 species
AGUGUAAUGCAGCCGUGCAAUGCACGAGAGUCCAAAGCCUCUAUAAAUGCAGAUGGCGCG